GUCUAUGGCCAUACCACCCUGAACGUGCCCUAUCUCGUCUGAUCUCUGGAAGCUAAGCAGGGUCAGGCCUGGUUAGUACUUGGAUGGGAGACCACCUGGGAAUACCAGGUGCUGUAGGCU
ensembl:rRNA 5S_rRNA 5S ribosomal RNA